rnacentral:rRNA from 1 species
UACGUAGGUGGCAAGCGUUGUCCGGAUUUAUUGGGCGUAAAGGGGGCGCAGGCUGCUUCUUAAGUCUGAUGUGAAAGCCCACGGCUUAACCGUGGAAGUGCAUUGGAAACUGGGAAGCUUGAGUACAGAAGAAGAAAGUGGAACUCCAUGGGUAGCGGUGGAAUGCGUAGAUAUAUGGAAGAACACCAGUGGCGAAAGCGACUUUCUGGUCUGUCACUGACGCUGAGGCCCGAAAGCGUGGGUAGCAAACAGGAUUAGAUACCCUGGUAGUC